AGAUUGAACGCUGGCGGCGUGCCUAACACAUGCAAGUCGAUCGGUAACAGGUGUAGCAAUACAUGCUGACGAGAGGCGGACGGGUGAGUAACGCUUGGGAAUCUGCCUAUUAGUGGGGGGACAACCCGGGGAAACUCGGGCUAAUACCGCAUACGCUCUACGGAGGAAAGCCGGGGACCGCAAGGCCUGGCGCUAAUAGAUGAGCCCAAGUCGGAUUAGCUAGUGUAGGGUAACGCCUACCAAGGCGACGAUCCGUAGCUGGUCUGAGAGGACGACCAGCCACACUGGGACUGAGACACGGCCCAGACUCCUACGGGAGGCAGCAGUGGGAAUAUGGACAAUGGGGGAAACCCUGAUCCAGCGACGCCGCGUGGGUGAAGAAGGCCUGGCGGGUUGUAAAGCCCGUUUCGGUGGGAAGAAAAGCCGUCGACCUAACGACGUCGGGUAUUCGGAACGUAACCCACGAAAAGAACGACACCGGCUAACUCUAGUGCCGAGCCAGCCGAC
rnacentral:rRNA from 1 species